UACGAAGGUCCCAAGCGUUAUCCGGAUUUAUUGGGUUUAAAGGGUGCGUAGGCGGCUUAUUAAGUCAGUGGUGAAAGACUUCAGCUUAACUGAAGAACUGCCAUUGAUACUGAUGAGCUUGAGUACAGUUGAGGUGGGCGGAAUGUGUCAUGUAGCGGUGAAAUGCUUAGAUAUGACACAGAACACCGAUUGCGAAGGCAGCUCGCUAAACUGUAACUGACGCUGAGGCACGAAAGCGUGGGGAGCAAACAGG
rnacentral:rRNA from 1 species